UGGGGAAUAUUGCACAAUGGGCGAAAGCCUGAUGCAGCGACGCCGCGUGCGGGAUGAAGGCCUUCGGGUUGUAAACCGCUUUUGAUUGGGAGCAAGCGAGAGUGAGUGUACCUUUCGAAUAAGCACCGGCUAACUACGUGCCAGCAGCCGCGGUAAUACGUAGGGUGCAAGCGUUAUCCGGAAUUAUUGGGCGUAAAGAGCUCGUAGGCGGUUUGUCGCGUCUGGUGUGAAAGUCCAUCGCUUAACGGUGGAUCUGCGCCGGGUACGGGCAGGCUAGAGUGCGACAGGGGAGACUGGAAUUCCCGGUGUAACGGUGGAAUGUGUAGAUAUCGGGAAGAACACCAAUGGCGAAGGCAGGUCUCUGGGUCGUCACUGACGCUGAGGAGCGAAAGCGUGGGGAGCGAACAGGAUUAGAUACCCUGGU
rnacentral:rRNA from 1 species